CGUAUACGCCCUUACGGGGAAAGAUUUAUCGCCGAAAGAUUAGCCCGCGUCUGAUUAGCUUGUUGGUGAGGUAAUGGCUCACCAAGGCGACGAUCAGUAGCUGGUUUGAGAGAACGACCAGCCACACUGGGACUGAGACACGGCCCAGACUCCUACGGGAGGCAGCAGUGGGGAAUCUUGGACAAUGGGGGAAACCCUGAUCCAGCCAUGCCGCGUGAGUGAUGAAGGCCUUCGGGUUGUAAAACUCUUUCGACGGGGACGAUAAUGACGGUACCCGUAGAAGAAGCUCCGGCUAACUUCGUGCCAGCAGCCGCGGUAAUACGAAGGGGGCUAGCGUUGUUCGGAAUUACUGGGCGUAAAGCGUGCGCAGGCGGUUUCUCAAGUCAGGGGUGAAAGCCCAGAGCUCAACUCUGGAAUUGCCUUUGAAACUGUGAAACUCGAGUGCGGGAGAGGUGAGUGGAAUUCCCAGU
rnacentral:rRNA from 1 species